GAUAAACGCUGGCGGCGCACAUAAGACAUGCAAGUCGAACGAACUUAAUUUUAAUAUUUAUAUUAAAAAGCGGUUAGUGGCGGACUGGUGAGUAACGCGUAAGCAAUCUGCCUAUCAGAGGGGAAUAACAGUGAGAAAUCAUUGCUAAUACCGCAUAUGCCAUAAGAAUCACAUGAUUCUAGUGGGAAAGGAGCAAUCCACUGAUAGAUGAGCUUGCGUCUGAUUAGCUAGUUGGUGGGGUAACGGCCUACCAAGGCGACGAUCAGUAGCCGGACUGAGAGGUUGAACGGCCACAUUGGGACUGAGAUACGGCCCAGACUCCUACGGGAGGCAGCAGUCGGGAAUAUUGCGCAAUGGAGGAAACUCUGACGCAGUGACGCCGCGUAUAGGAAGAAGGUUUUCGGAUUGUAAACUAUUGUCGUUAGGGAAGAUAAAAGACAGUACCUAAGGAGGAAG
rnacentral:rRNA from 1 species